rnacentral:rRNA from 1 species
UAUUGCAUAAUGGGGGAAACCCUGAUGCAGCGACGCCGCGCGAGCGAUGAAGUAUUCCGGUAUGUAAAGCUCUAUCAGCAGGGAAGAAAAUGACGGUACCUGACUAAGAAGCCCCGGCUAACUACGUGCCAGCAGCCGCGGUAAUACGUAGGUGGCAAGCGUUAUCCGGAUUUACUGGGUGUAAAGGGAGCGUAGGCGGUAUAGCAAGUCAGAAGUGAGAGCCCGGGGCUCAACUCCGGGACUGCUUUUGAAACUGUUGAACUAGAUUGCAGGAGAGGUAAGUGGAAUUCCUAGUGUAGCGGUGAAAUGCGUAGAUAUUAGGAGGAACACCAGUGGCGAAGGCGGCUUACUGGACUGUAAAUGACGCUGAGGCUCGAAAGCGUGGGGAGCAAACAGG